rnacentral:rRNA from 1 species
UACGAAGGGGGCUAGCGUUGUUCGGAUUUACUGGGCGUAAAGCGCACGUAGGCGGACUCUUAAGUCGGUGGUGAAAUCCUGGAGCUCAACUCCAGAACUGCCUUCGAUACUGGGAGUCUCGAGUUCGGGAGAGGUGAGUGGAACUGCGAGUGUAGAGGUGAAAUUCGUAGAUAUUCGCAAGAACACCAGUGGCGAAGGCGGC